rnacentral:lncRNA from 1 species
ACCAGCACGGAAGAAGCAUGACAAAAACCAGUAGCACGUGUCACGCCCAUAAAAAAAAACAAUUAACACAUAUGUUAGCACUCAGAGCUUAGCUGUUAUGAACUUGAACUCGUCUUUGAAUGAUCCAUACCAUCAACAUAUACUUAUAGCACGAGGAAAACAUUAAUAAUACGAACAAUAGGAAUGUGGUACUUAAGGAGAAAGACAGAGCGGACUAUUCGCUUAAUCCUUUUGAAGAUUCAGGUAGUGUGUACUCUCCUAGUUCAGAUGGGAGUAAUUCCAGUUUGGAAGUUUCACAAGAAAAUGAAAGAAGUUAUAAUACUUCCAGUUUGGAAGUUUCACAAGAAAAUGAAACAAGUCCUAAUAAUUCCAGUUUCGAAGUUUCCGAGAAAAUGAAACAAGUCCUAAUACCGAUGACCAUAAUAAAGAAGAAACUCCGUUACCUGAGCGUAAAGUGGCUCAAAAUAACAAAGAUGAUGUGGAGUUAUGUCCGAUAUCGGUAGGAGAGACGAGAAAGAAUAAUGGAAAGAGAAUACGAGAUAAACGGCACUCAUGCUAUUUUUGUCAAAAAAUAAUAUGCAACAACUUUUCUAGACAUGUUGAAUAACAUUAUGAAAAUGAAAUAAAAGCUGCUAGAUUCUUAGCUAUGCCCAAAAACUCUAAACAACGACGAGACGCAUUCGCAAACUUAAUAAGAUAUGGAGACUUUUACCAUAAUUGCGAGGUCCUAUCCUUGAAAGAAGGGAACUUAUUUUAACUAGGAGACCCACUACCCAGGAAAAAGCAUUCAUAUCAUAUUCGGACUAUGGUCCCAGUCCUGAAGGAUUUAGGGUUUCUUCUCAAGAGACAACUUUGGUAUCACUUAAGAUAUACAUGCCCUUCAAAGUUGAAAAAAGACGAAGACCCAGAAAAAUCUCCGGGAAAGGGUCCUAUAGUAGAAAGUGCAGCAUUGCUAAAUGGUAUUUUAGGACAAAAUUUUACACCUGGAUUCUUAGACAUCGUGGACCGUUUUCGAAAUGAUGCAAUUCAAGUAGAUGCAAAGAGGACGACACAAUCAUGCUUUAUGGAGCGUUCCUUUAUGAAAAAUAUAGCUCCCCGCAGUCAGAACUUAUAAGACAGUCUAUACAGCUGGGGAAAUUAACAAUAGAAAUGAAGAGGCGGGGAGAAAAUUUUCAAAAUUUAAGUGAAGUUCUUUUUCCACAAAAGUUCCGACUCGAUCGUUAAUGCAACCAAGAUGAGGGGUCUGGAGUAGUGCACAGAAAAAAAUCAAAAAAGAAAUGUGUUAGCUUCAAGCGAAGGCCAUGAACCACAGACGAAAAAGAAAUUAUCCUGAAUCAGUUCAAACCGUAUAUAAGGAGAGGUGUCCUGCCAGGAAAAAACAAUGCACAAAAUUAAUAGAGGACCAUACAGUGUUUGCAGGAAGAAAAUGGACCGACUUAAAAUUUUUCGUUAAAAAUUAUUUAACAAAUUUAAAUAAAAGGAAAAGUAAUGAAUAAAUUUUCUGAUGUGUAACAGAUUUUUCGACUGGUUUGAACUUAAUGUUUAUUGAAAUACCUGCUUGUGUGAAAUCAUAAACAGGUAAAAUUUUCUGAAAUUGAAUAAAGUAAAAUUAUCGAAAAA